AGUGAACGCUGGCGGUAGGCCUAACACAUGCAAGUCGAACGGCAGCACAGUAAGAGCUUGCUCUUACGGGUGGCGAGUGGCGGACGGGUGAGGAAUACAUCGGAAUCUACUUUUUCGUGGGGGAUAACGUAGGGACACUUACGCUAAUACCGCAUACGACCUACGGGUGAAAGCAGGGGAUCUUCGGACCUUGCGCGAUUGAAUGAGCCGAUGUCGGAUUAGCUAGUUGGCGGGGUAAAGGCCCACCAAGGCGACGAUCCGUAGCUGGUCUGAGAGGAUGAUCAGCCACACUGGAACUGAGACACGGUCCAGACUCCUACGGGAGGCAGCAGUGGGGAAUAUUGGACAAUGGGCGAAAGCCUGACCCAGCCAUACCGCGUGGGUGAAGAAGGCCUUCGGGUUGUAAAGCCCUUUUGUUGGGAAAGAAAAGCAGCAGGUUAAUACCCCGCUGUUCUGACGGUACCCAAAGAAUAAGCACCGGCUAACUUCGUG
rnacentral:rRNA from 1 species